GGUGUGCACCUGUACUGGUGUGUACAGACGUGUACCCCCUUGUGUAUAGGUGGGGGUGCACAAACACACAGGUGAGGAGGGGAGUGUGUUUGUGAAUAUGUGCAUGAGCAUAAAAGAAUUCAAAAGUUGUGGGCAGGAGAUGCCGAGAGCCUGCCCAUGGGCAGGACCUGGAGGAUCCCUCCUUAGCUGGAGCUUGGAACAGACUCACGGCAGCCAAGUGAGUUCAAUGGCUGAGGUGAGGCACCGCCCCAGGCCUCAUAACCCAAUUCAGACUACACUCCCCCACC
rnacentral:lncRNA from 1 species